CUACGUGCCAGCAGCCGCGGUAAUACGUAGGGGGCAAGCGUUAUCCGGAUUUACUGGGUGUAAAGGGAGCGUAGACGGAGUGGCAAGUCUGAAGUGAAAACCCUGGGCUUAACCUGGGGACUGCUUUGGAAACUGUUAAUCUAGAGUGUUGGAGAGGUAAGUGGAAUUCCUGGUGUAGCGGUGAAAUGCGUAGAUAUCAGGAAGAACACCGGAGGCGAAGGCGGCUUACUGGACAAUAACUGACGUUGAGGCUCGAAAGCGUGGGGAUCAAACAGGAUUAGAUACCCUGGUAGUCCACGCUGUAAACGAUGAAUACUAGGUGUCGGGGAGCAAAGCUUCUCGGUGCCGUCGCAAACGCAAUAAGUAUUCCACCUGGGGAGUACGUUCGCAAGAAUGAAACUCAAAGGAAUUGACGGGGACCCGCACAAGCGGUGGAGCAUGUGGUUUAAUUCGACGCAACGCGAAGAACCUUACCAGGUCUUGACAUUGAUGGACAGAACUAGAGAUAG
rnacentral:rRNA from 1 species